GGAGCUGAUAGUCUGUUAGAUCUACUGCUCAUGUUGACAGAAUCCUCCACAACAAUGACCAACAUCAUUCUCAUCUGGGCAGUUUUAUUCUGUGUGGAAGAAUGUCGAGGGCAGAUUACUGUAACUCAGAGCCCCAGAACAGCACGUGGUCAUCUGGGAGAAUCCAUCACUCUGGCCUGCAAAACCAGCUCUGGUAUUGAUGGUUAUGGACUCUCCUGGUACCAGCAGAAAGAUGGAGGAGCUCCUAAACUUUUAGUUUAUAUGGUGGAUGACCUUGCCACUGGGAUUCCAUCACGAUUCAGUGGGAGUGGAUCUCGUGGUGGAUCUGACUUCAGUCUGAGCAUCAGUGGAGUCCAGGCUGAAGAUGCAGGAGAUUAUUACUGCAUGAGCCGACACGUACCUCUCUAUGAGUUUGUAGCACUGUGGUGGACUUUUGGUGGAGGCACCAGACUGGAUGUUGGCACAAACAGGCAGCCCACGCUGACCGUGCUGCCUCCCUCUAGUGAGGAGCUGAGCAGGAAGAGCUCGGCCACACUGGUGUGCCUGGCUGACCAGGGCUUCCCCUCCGACUGGAGCCUGAGCUGGAAGGUGGAUGGGAGCAGGAAGAGUGGAGUGGCCAGUGGUGGGGUCAUGAAGGACGCUCUGUACAGCUGGAGCAGCACCCUGACGCUCAGUGAUGCCGAGUGGAACGGGGCCUCUUCAGUGGUCUGUGAGGCCACCCAGGGAUCUCAGGGAGCGGUCACUAAAGCCCUGAGCAGAGCGGACUGCUCUCAGUAGGGUCCAGUCUCUGCUCUGAUGAGGCGGCUGCUCUCUUAGCUCAAGUCCUCACGUGGAGCGCCACUGUAGGCAGAUUCAGCACAUGCUGUGCUGCAGUUUUACUUUGUUUGGUGUUUUUUAUUCCAAUUGUGUGUAUGUUCUUCCUCUCAUGCUGAAUUGCUGUGACUGAUAA